rnacentral:lncRNA from 1 species
GAUAAACUAAUAGAGAUUAAAUUCUAGAAAUGUUACUAUUAGGGAUGCAAAAGUGGAAAUUGUAAUUUACAUUAAAUCAAAGGUCAGGAAAGGAGGAUCUAAGACAAAUAAUCAUAAUAGACAAGAAAUCUUUACGUAUCCAAGAUAGAAGUUGUAAAUCGCUUAAAUAUGACAUCGAGGAAAAGAGAGACUUAUUGGAAUCAAUAAAUAGAGUCAGAUGUAGG